rnacentral:tRNA from 2 species
GGACCGUGUGCCCGAGUGGUUGAGGGGCUCGCUUGGAAAGCGUGUCGGGCGGCAACCCCUCGCGAGUUCGAAUCUCGUAUCCUCCGCCA